rnacentral:rRNA from 1 species
AGGGGCUGCCAACUCGNUUAAAUUCAAGCCUUGCUGAUAUAUCCCACCCUGUUCUUUUGCGUACUUCUUGUUUCCUUGGUGGGUUCGCCCACCACUAGGACAAACAUAAACCUUUUGUAAUUGCAAUCAGCGUCAGUAACAAAUUAAUAAUUACAACUUUCAACAACGGAUCUCUUGGUUCUGGCAUCGAUGAAGAACGCAGCGAAAUGCGAUAAGUAGUGUGAAUUGCAGAAUUCAGUGAAUCAUCGAAUCUUUGAACGCACAUUGCGCCCUUUGGUAUUCCAAAGGGCAUGCCUGUUCGAGCGUCAUUUGUACCCUCAAGCUUUGCUUGGUGUUGGGCGUCUUGUCUCUAGCUUUGCUGGAGACUCGCCUUAAAGUAAUUGGCAGCCGGCCUACUGGUUUCGGAGCGCAGCACAAGUCGCACUCUCUAUCAGCAAAGGUCUAGCAUCCAUUAAGCCUUUUUUCAACUUUUGACCUCGGAUCAGGUAGGGAUACCCGCUGAACUUAGCAU